UGCAUAUCAAUAAGCGGAGGAAAAGAAACUAACAAGGAUUCCCCUAGUAACGGCGAGUGAAGCGGGAUGAGCUCAAAUUUGUAAUCUGGCGGCCUUUGGCCGUCCGAGUUGUAGUCUGGAGAAGCGUCUUCCGCGUCGGACCGUGUACAAGUCCCUUGGAACAGGGCGUCGUAGAGGGUGAGAAUCCCGUCUUUGACACGGACUGCCGAUGCUUUGCGAUGCGCUCUCGAAGAGUCGAGUUGUUUGGGAAUGCAGCUCAAAACGGGUGGUAAAUUCCAUCUAAAGCUAAAUAUGGGCGAAAGACCGAUAGCGAACAAGUACCGUGAGGGAAAGAUGAAAAGCACUUUGGAAAGAGAGUUAAACAGUACGUGAAAUUGUUGAAAGGGAAACGCUUGAAGUCAGUCGCGUCUCUCGGGACUCAGCCUCGCUUCUGCUUGGUGUAUUUCCUGGGGUGACGGGCCAGCAUCGAUUUUGACCGUCGGAGAAAGGCCUUGGGAACGUGGCACCCUUUGGGUGUGUUAUAGCCCUCGGUCGUAUGCGACGGUUGGGAUCGAGGACCGCAGCACGCCUUUUUGGCCGGGGUUCGCCCACGCACGUGCUUAGGAUGCUGGCGUAAUGGCUUUAAGCGACCCGUCUUGAAACACGGACCA
rnacentral:rRNA from 1 species